AUAACUUCGAUAAAAUGCAAACUUUUUGGGAAAUCAUUUAUCAUGAACUUGUGAAUUUGUUUGAAAAUCAAAGAGUUGUACAUAAACCAAUCAUGUGAGAGAGUGUAAGCCAAACACAAAAAUUAUGUGAGCUUAGUGAGAAACCAUUGGUUUUGGAUAAUUGAUUUUGUUUGAAUCUUUCUUUACUUGGUUGCACAUAAUUUAAUAGAAACGAUCAAGGCAAAUUCUUUCAAAUAGAAUGAGCCACUUGACCAAUGACCAACCAAAAAUAGGAACAUCCCUUGCUAACCCAUUUAAGUCUUAAAAAGAAAAGUUAUUUUUCAAACACAACCCUUGAGCCCAAUAUAUGGAAAAACAAAAAUUAAAUCUCCUAUAUUUUUCUAAGUAAAGAAAUGCUCAAAAGAAAAAAAGUGUUCAAAAGAAAAAAAUUGUCAAUCUCUUUACAAAUAAAAAAGAGGGUAAAUAAAUGCUCCAAAAAUAAAAAGGAGUAAAAAGAGAUUGAGAAAAAUCAAGAAAAGUUACACAAAAAGGUCAAGAAAAAGAAUGAGGAAAGGAAGAAAAAAAAGAAAGGUUAAAAAGUUGAAACCAAUUUUCUUUGAUAGCCAAACCUCAUUACAACCUAAGGAAGACCUUAGUGAUCAAUGAAAAAUUGUGCAAUGAAAGUAAGUGUUGAGAAGAAGAAUAAAAUUAAAUUCUUGCAAACCAAACAAGUUGAGUUUUGAGUGAAAUAGUUAC
rnacentral:lncRNA from 1 species